rnacentral:rRNA from 1 species
UACGUAGGUGGCAAGCGUUGUCCGGAUUUACUGGGCGUAAAGAGCGCGCAGGCGGUCGUUCAAGUCGCGUGUGAAAGCCCCCGGCUCAACUGGGGAGGGUCACGCGAUACCGCUCGACUCGAAGGCAGGAGAGGGAAGUGGAAUUCCCGGUGUAGUGGUGAAAUGCGUAGAUAUCGGGAGGAACACCAGUGGCGAAGGCGACUUCCUGGCCUGUUCUUGACGCUGAGGCGCGAAAGCUAGGGUAGCAAACGGG